UAGGGAAUCUUCCACAAUGGGCGAAAGCCUGAUGGAGCAACGCGCGUGUGUGAUGAAGGGUUUCGGCUCGUAAACACUGUUGUAAGAGAAGAAUGACAUUGAGAGUAACUGUUCAAUGUGUGACGGUAUCUUACCAGAAAGGAACGGCUAAAUACGUGCCAG
rnacentral:rRNA from 1 species